UUAUUACAAUAAUUGGAAGGGUGAAGCCUUUCCAUAAGAUAUAUACAUAAACAUUCUAAGCUUCAAGUCAUCCACAUGAAGUAACUAACCCAAAGAUAAGGGAAUAAACCUUCUCCUACAAAAACAACAAGGGAUAAAACCCUGAGUGUGCAAUUACUCAGCAAUACUUACCCGACUAAAGAAAAGACUCUCAAGGGUAUGCUGGCUUUUGGGAAUCAAGGUAAAGCUCAUCAAAGUUCAAGGACUCAUUUUGCAGAAAAGCUUACUGUUGGGGGCCUUCGGCUUCCGAAGGUCCUCAAAAACAGGAUUUAACAGUGUUUCUGGAGUAUAAUGUGUGAACAGGUAUCUUCGGACUCGAGUCGAUAUCACAGUAGGAGGAGCCCAAAGUAAUACGAAGGUUGAUACAACGUCGAAGAUGUGAGCGAGAAAGCUUCGGCGUGGUAGCGGAAAAAGAAACCGACUUAAAGAUGAAAAGGCUAUUCGGACCUCGGUGGAUUACUAUAGAAUUACUACCAAGUGUAAAGGGCAUGAAUGUAAAUUUGCACGGGCUGCGUCCCGUGCCUAUAAAUAGGUGAACAGUACUCCCGUACUGUUCAACGCAGACUUGACAUUUUGCUUUUUGCGUCACGCUUGUACUUUUACUGCCUUCCUUGACGAAGGUACGUUUGUAACUUAAUGUCGUUUCUAUUCUUCUAUAAUAAUAAUAUAGAAAUGAAUUGAUAGCAAGAUAUAAUUGUCUAUGUUUUCCUUCAUAUUUUAUAUUUCGUAUAAUCCUUCCUUCGUUAUUAUAUGUUGUGUGUACGAAAAUACGUCCUUCAUAACCUUCGUCCGAAAAUCACUAUAUCCUAAGGGAAAUAAUGCUUCGAAGGACGAAGGGUAUUAACCUUUAACGUUUUUGUGUUACCUUGUUCUUAACUCAUAGUGUUUGAGAACAAGUCAUCAACAUUGGCGCCCACCUCCGGUGAACUCACUUCCACUCUUUGAGUUCUGAACAUCUUCGGCAAUCAUAAACCUUCGCUAUGGCGUCGAAGAAAGCUUCAGCAACUGGGGCUGCAGUUCUGCAACCGCUGGACCCCAAUCAGGAGACUCUCUCUCUUCGGGAGGCCCGAAGCCAGAAGAGGAAGGUUGUCAGCCCGACACCGCAAGAGGAUGAGCUAGACCAAGAAAUCAGAGACAUGGAGAUGCUUCAUCAACAGGUGCAGAGAAAGAAGGAAAAGAUGGCCAGGCUAGCAGAACUGCAAAGGCAGAUAGACGAAGCCUCUGAAGAAGUUCGUCAUCUUACUCAGGAUGAGCAGAACCGAAGGCCUCAGCACAAGGACCUUCAUCAGGAGGGUUUUUUCAACGAAGAUGACUGGUAUGAGAAUUUCCACCAUGGAAAUUUUGCUUUUGAUGAUGCUUCUCCUCUGUCCGCUGAGCUGCAGGCUACACCUUGGCCUUCGUCCUACAAACCGCCCCAGCUUCCCAUGUUCGACGGCCAUUCAGACCCGAAGCAGUUUUUGAUGAGCUACGAAGCAACAGUAUCUUCGUAUGGUGGCAAUACUGCAGUCAUGGCAAAAUCUUUUGUUAUGGCUGUCAGGAGUGUUGCUCAAACCUGGUAUUCCUCCCUUCGGCCAGGAACAAUCACUUCAUGGCAAAAGCUGAAGGACAUGUUGUUAACCAGCUUCCAAGGGUUUCAGACGAAGCCGGUCACUGCUCAAGCUCUAUUCCAGUGCACCCAGGAUCACGAAGAAUACCUUCAGGCGUAUGUCCGGAGGUUCUUACGUUUGAGGGCACAGGCGCCAACAGUGCCCAACGAAAUUGUAAUUGAGGCCAUGAUCAAGGGACUUCAGCCAGGACCUUCAGCUCAGUACUUUGCUAGGAAGCCUCCUCAAACUUUGGAGAAGCUGCUCCAGAAGAUGGACGAGUAUAUUCGGGCCGACAAUGAUUUUCGCCAAAGAAGGGAGGAAGCUUUCAGGUUUUCCGAAAUGACCAGGGGCUUCGGAGGAAGAUUUUAUCCGAGGCAUGUCAGGUCAAUUCACAACUCUACUCAAAAUGAUGAUAAGGGGAGUCAGCAGCAAAGGCCACAGUGUUCCUCACAGGCUUCGGGGCAACAGCAAAACUUCUCCAGGCCAGCAGCUCCGAGAGGCAGAGGCGCCAGGGGCUUCGGCGGAAGAUUUGGAGAUCAACCAAGGAGAAUAUUUUGCUUGUUCUGUGGUGAAAACAAGGGCCAUACCACCAGGAUGUGCCAUGUUACCAUCCAGAAGCAAAAGGAGAUAGCCGAAGCUGCGACACAACAAGCUCAGCCGAAGCAGGUCAUGCAUACUGCUUCAUACCAUUCGCCUUACAUCCCAGAAUACGUAGGCAACCACCCUGCAGUUUCUGUUGCUUCGGCGAGUCAACCUCAAGCUUCCUGGCAGCAGCCUCCGCCUCCACCAUCGUUGCAACAAGGUCAACAGCCAGAAGGGAGCCAAUAUGCUCCACAUCAAAGGGACUUCAGAGAACAAUCCGAAGCUCGCACAGUCAAUAGCACUUUGCCAGAGUCGAAGCACAUCUAUUGACAAAUAUCCUACCUUGACAGCAGUCUUUUCCAUUCAGUUUUAUUUUCUGUGUAAUAAAGGACAUUUUUUAAAUUUCAAGUAAUAGUUUUGUUGUUUGUCACAAGGAAAACAAAUCUUCUACAUAGGCUUAAGUUGUCGGAGCUUGAAAAUUUGCAAUAGCAAGGAGGACCUUCGGAUUAUCAAUUUGGAAUAGACACGGUAUGAAUUCUUCGAAGCAACAAAAAGUCGUUCCAAAAGGAGCGCAGUGUAAGUUUUUGCUCCAAAGACGUUCCUAAGGGAAUGCAGAGCUUACAGCAAAAAGUCAACGCUGAUUCCGCCGAAAGUAAAAGGCGAAGAAGCUCCAAAGACGUUCCUAAGGGAAUGCAGAGCUUACAGCGAAAAGUCAACGCUGAUUCCGCCGAAAGUAAAAGGCGAAGAAGCUCCAAAGACGUUCCUAAGGGAAUGCAGAGCUUACAGCGAAAAGUCAACGCUGAUUCAAAAAAGAUUAUGUAUUUUAUUGCAGGGAUGUGUGUGAAGCUUCGGAACGAAUACCUUUUCUCAUAGCAUAACAUCAUCACAUCAUUUUGCAUAGCAUAAGCAUCAUACAUCAUUCUGCAUAUGGCACAAGGGGAGACAAUAUUGAUCUUCGGAAUGUAGCUUCGGAAAAUAUUUCUACGAAGUUUGGAUGUUUUUCAUUAGAACACUAUGGGUAUUGUUGCGAUAAAUGAAAAUUCUUCUUCACGAAGCAUGAAAAGAAGGGAAGGUGUUUUUUCGUCGAAGACUCAAAAACGGUACGUAUGUAAAAUUUCAUGCAUCGUAAAGAAUUAAAUCAUAAAAAACAAGUUUAUUACAUUCAGGCUUACAAGGUAUUACACAUAUUACAUUUCAGAAGUUUUUACAGUAGCACCUAGUCUUCCCUAAGUACUACUUCUGCAGCUUCGUUCAAGAGUUGAUUGACAACUUGAUCCAUGAUAGCUUCAGCCAUCUUUUUAAUUUCAUCGUCAUCUUUCGGGGGAGGGCCCGGGGACGCUUUAGUAGGAUCUGAGGAAGGACAGGACACAGCUACAUUGCUAUUACAAAUUGCGAACGAAGUUUAAAAUUAAAAAUUACAACUCAAUAAAAACCACUAGUUAAUACCUAUUUGCCCUUCGGGCUCCACGCUUUUCUCAGCAGCCUCUGCUACUUUUCUAGCAUCAUGGAUGCCCUUUUCGCUUUUUUGGAUAAUUUCUCGGGCCAUUUCUCGGCCACCAUUGUCCCAGACAUCGGUAAAAAAUUUUCCACCAACCAUGCUAGCUUCGGCUGAAGGAUCCUUUGCAUCUUCGAAGGGCAAGGUAGCUUCGGAUUGCGCUAAAAUCUUUACAUGCUCACAGCCCUUUUUCUCCAAAAUGGUGGCAAUUCCUCUGGCACCCGAAAAAGCACAUAUAUCUCCGCGGCUAUUUAAAAUUUCUUCGAAGGCCUCAGCUUCGUGGCUAAUCCAUUCAAUGGGGCCUUCGGGGUUGCCUCUUGUAAAGUUUUCUUCACUCGAAAAUGCGCCAACGCUGGCGAAGCUAGUUUUCAUUUUCUUAACACAUUCUAUAGAUUUGUUAUAGCAUCUCUUCUUGGACGCACGAAGCUCUUCAACAGUUCCUUCUAAAUGAUUUGCCCAUUGGUCGCUAAGUUCUCGCUUUGUUUCUUCAAGUAUACAUUCUUCUCUAGCUCUGGUUAGUUGUUUUCGAAGAUCUUCAAUUUCACGCUUCUGAGCCUCAGCUUGACCUUUAAAAGUAGCUUCGUCCUCUUUUAUUCUACUUAUCAAUGAAUGCAAUAUUUUGUCUUUUUCGAGACCUUCCUUCCGUAGUUCAAUUACUUCGGAACGAAGGUUGCUCAGGGCCAUCACACAUCCUUCAUCUUCGGCAUCUUUUUGGGCCCUGAGGGCAUUGCUAAGUAUAAGGCCCUGCAAAGAAGAAUGUGUGCGCGUUAAUAAAUCUAAGCAAACGGAAAAAAUUUUUUUGGUUUCAAGAAAAAAUACGAAGGUCUCAAAUUUUGUACCUUUAAACUAUUGUACGCCAAGCUGUCGGCCAGCUCGUCUUUCGACAGCACCGAGAGUCCGUCUUCUAGCGUUGGGAAUCCGAAGCUCUUGCCCAUCUCCCGGCAGACAGAAAUCUCCUUGCUGUCAGGGAGACAGUACAAGAAGUCUUCUUCUCCGCUACCGUUGAAUAUCAACGCCCCCUUUGGAUAUUUUAGUUUUUGGGCGUAAAGCUGGGCCUCUUGCUUUUCUUUUUCAGACAACUUUUUCCCCGAAGCAUGUCGAACAAUAUAAUCAGGGACUUUGGAGGAUGCUUCGGGGGCAGCAGCACUGAUUUCUUCGGCAAGAAUUGGCUCUGUCACUUUUUCUUCCUCGAUUUCCAAGGAUUUUACCUUCGUGGGCUCUGAAGGCCCAGCUUCAUCUUCAGUUGCUUGCUCUGGAGCCUUAGUAUCAAAAAUCUCAGUUUUCGCUUCGGAAGUCUCAACAGUCUUCUUCGGAGUUGUGCUCGAGGACUUAAUUGUUUCUAGAACAUCUAGCACGUUGACCAUUCUUUUUAUUUUCGGAGUCACCGCUGGCCCCCUUUGGAUUUUUAUUGUAUCAACAUUUGCUGAAGGACUUAAAACUUCUGAUAUUUUUGAUCCCUCAGUUGAUCCUUUUGCUUCUUUCAUUUUUUCUGUUGAUGGCGCUUCGGCCGUCUCUUUGGUUUCUGAUAACGAAAUCUUUGGUUCUUCCAAUCCUGUUCUUAUUGACGCUUCGGCCAUUUCUGAGAUUUCUGGCAGCAAGAUUGACUGUUCAGCCUCGGUGGCCGAAGAGGUCUCUCCGGUGAAUUCAGGCACCGAGGCUGGUUCAAUAUAGCGUGGCCGAUGUGUGAGGACCUUUAUCCUUUUCCUUUUCGGUGCUGGCUCACUAGGAGCAGCUGCAGCUUCUUCUUUCGCAGAGGUCGCGCCUUUUCUUUUCUGCCCUCGAAUGGGAUAACGAUAGUCAGGGUAGACGAACCCGAUUGCGUCAAACACUCGGUUCAGUCUUUUCUUUUUUCGGCCUCCGAAGGCUGCUGACAAUGCAGUAUCUUCGGCCUUCGAGUAAGCCCCAAGUAGUUCAUCACUUAAAUUUUCAAUGCUUUUUAGCCAGUCAUCAUCUGGCUCAACGAAUUUAUCUCCGAACUUGAAAGUAUACUUCAGUCUGAUAAGACCACCUUCGUCAGCCUCCUUUAUGGUUUCUUGCGGCAUUUCCCAUUUUUCCGCGAGCGGCCAUACUCUGAAGGCAAUAUGCUCUUGGACCAAAUCUCUCGUUCCAAUAAAAGAACAAAUAACUCCGAAGGCUCUCUGGCAUUCUUCGGCGGCUUCAUUCAUUUCAACCUUCGGCCUUCGCAGGCCGAAACUUUGCCAAAUAGGGCGCAUAAUUAUACCUUUAAUAUCUUCUCGUGCUUUCAGGUCAUUCUUCACAUAAAACCAAUCUGUCAUCCAGUCGCCGGGCCAUCUUUUCCGAAAGGUUGGCACGGGACAGCUUGACCCAGAUCGAGAAACGAAACUGUAGCAGCCAAAGUUAUUGUGAUACUGUUCCUUACCCCAGGGUUUUGUCUCGUAUGAUAAUUCGUGUAUCUUGCAGAAACUUUUCGCAUCAGGUUCCAGACCUUGGCUUCUCACGGCCCACACAAAGAUAUUCAGCCUUAUAAUCGCUUCGGGAGUAAGUUGAUGAAGAUAAAUUUCAAACAUUUUCAGCACUUCUACGACGAAGCUGCUCAGGGGAAAUCGUAGUCCGGCUUUCAAAAAGCUUCGGAACACUACGACUUCAUUUUCCUCAGGGGUCGGGCAAGUUUUUUCUCCUUCGUCGACCCUCACAAUGGAUAAAUCUCGGAAGUAUCUUCCCCUCAUGUUGACAAGAUGAUUUUCUUUGAUACCUGACUUGCCAAAAACUGAAUGACUUGGUCGCCAGGGGCGAUCUUCGGAGUCUUCACCACCACUAUCCACAUCAUAGCUGUCGCUGUCAUCAGUAUCUUCAGACAAACCUUCUAAAAUCUCUUUGGUGAUUUUUUCUGUGUUGGUCUUCGACAUUGCUAUAAGAAACCCCAGGUUCUUCUCUUCAGAGAGACUCAGCUUCAUCUCGGGAGCAGCCUUCUUAUCUUCAGACAUCUUCGGAAACACUAAAAAACUGUUUUCGACGCCGAAGCUUAAAAAGCUAAGCAAAUCUUGGUGCGCAAGAGCUAAAAAUUGAGUGAGCAAGAACAAAUGGCAAGAUAGCGUGCCAAAUGAGCUCGCGGUAUGCUCUUAUUUAUACGCCCAGUGCGUUAAAAAUUGAAAGACCCUGCCUGUCAGUGAAUGUUGCUAUUCUAGCAAAGGGAAGGUGUUUUUUCGGACCUUCGGCUUAAAGCCUUCGUCCAUGUCGCAAUCUAAAUUUAUUAUUUUAACAAAUUAAUAUUGCGAGGGGCUACUGUUGGGGGCCUUCGUCUUCCGAAGGUCCUCAAAAACAGGAUUUAACAGUGUUUCUGGAGUAUAAUGUGUGAACAGGUAUCUUCGGACUCGAGUCGAUAUCACAGUAGGAGGAGCCCAAAGUAAUACGAAGGUUGAUACAACGUCGAAGAUGUGAGCGAGAAAGCUUCGGCGUGGUAGCGGAAAAAGAAACCGACUUAAAGAUGAAAAGGCUAUUCGGACCUCGGUGGAUUACUAUAGAAUUACUACCAAGUGUAAAGGGCAUGAAUGUAAAUUUGCACGGGCUGCGUCCCGUGCCUAUAAAUAGGUGAACAGUACUCCCGUACUGUUCAACGCAGACUUGACAUUUUGCUUUUUGUGUCACGCUUGUACUUUUACUGCCUUCCUUGACGAAGGUACGUUUGUAACUUAAUGUCGUUUCUAUUCUUCUAUAAUAAUAAUAUAGAAAUGAAUUGAUAGCAAGAUAUAAUUGUCUAUGUUUUCCUUCAUAUUUUAUAUUUCGUAUAAUCCUUCCUUCGUUAUUAUAUGUUGUGUGUACGAAAAUACGUCCUUCAUAACCUUCGUCCGAAAAUCAUUAUAUCCUAAGGGAAAUAAUGCUUCGAAGGACGAAGGGUAUUAACCUUUAACGUUUUUGUGUUACCUUGUUCUUAACUCAUAGUGUUUGAGAACAAGUCAUCAACACUUACUAGAAGUGGGUCCUUAAGCCAAGUUUUAUUUCACAAGUUAGUUUAUUACCUGAAUCUUCUAGCCUGAAUCUAGCAUUUUCCUAAUCUAGAUCAUUCACUUGACCUACACUAGGUUCCUUUUAAAAUCCAAAUUUUUGUUUCGCUUGUUAUCUACGAUGAAGGGCAGCGAUCCAGUCUUCAUAUCCGAGAAGUAACGGCGAUCCGAAUCGAUUAAUACCCAGCUGGGGAUCUCCAACCACACGACAUAUGCCUCCCUUAACUGAUUUGCACAUGUCUACCAUUCCCACGGAUCCUCCACCACAUGAACAGGUCCGCGCCACCCGAGAGCACACCAACCCUUUUAGGCGGUCCUUUGCCAGGAGGGUACAUGCCACUCUCGCCAUCUCUCCACUCCCAGUGCACGAUUGUCUUUUCAUGUAUGGAAUAGCCGGGUUCAGGCUUACCCAUGAUGAGGUAUGUGGCCAGAUAAAAGGUCCUAGAUCAGCAGGCCAACAAUCGGUACGGUCCUUAAUCGACACAGAUGGGCAACUUUUCCUGCUCAACGUCUGGUCCCAUUUUAAACUAUUUCAAAAUUUUGGCGCCUGACAGAGGGGCCAUGCCUAGAUAAUGAAUUUAUCAACGUCUUGUGUAACAUCCCAAAACCCCACCCAAGAUUUGAAACCCUAACCUCCUAAAUUCCUUUCCCCCCCUUAUUUUACCUUUCUCUCUAAACCCUACCCUUAGAACCCCUCUUCAUGUGCAUACACUUGAAAUAAUUAGAGCACCUCACAUAGACUAUGUUUCUCACUCAAGAUCAUUUAGAAAAUAUUUUUGGUCUCCAAAGAAAAAGAAUCAAAAAGAAACAAAAAUAGAAAAAGGAGAAGAAAGGGAUUAGAAUUAGAAAAAUAAAAAGAAAAGGGAAAACCUCACCCCCUCCCUCGGCUGGGCCGAAUUCCAGCCCAACCCACGCGCGCCCGCACCUCUCCCCCCCUCUCUCCCCGGCCCAGGCGGCCCAACCGCGCGCGGCUCCCUUCCGCUGACACCCGGGCCCCGCCCGUCAGUGCCUCACCCCCUCCCUCUCGCGCCGCUUCCUCUCGCUGGCAGCCAGGGCCCACUUGUCAGUUCCAUCCCCCUCGCCCAUCCCUCACCGGCGCAUCCGCCGCCGAGCACCCCCUCGCCUCGUCGCCUCGCCAUUAAUGCUCGCCAGCCUCCGCGACAACCUCGCCACUGUGCUUGAGCCGACCCCUCACCCCCCCCGCCUGCCCGAGCCAUCGCAUCGGCGUUAGCGCCAUUCCCGCCCUCACGGCGAGCUCGCCGGUGCUCGUCGUUUCCUCCAUCCCCCUCCCUCCCCCGAGCGCCUAUAAAAGCACCCGCCCGAGCCCGGUCUUCACCACACCGGCUCCGGCCAACUCCUCCACCUUUCCCCACGCCAAUCGAGCUAGCGCCGCCGUGCUCUCUUCAUUGCUCCGGUGAGCUCCCCUCCCCCUCUCUGGUGAUCCUCUGUCCAAUCAAACUAGGCUCGAAGCUCCGCCACACUCUCUCGGUCGCGAGGCACACCUCCCCGCCUCCUAUCGUGGCCGGCAACCGCACCGGCAGCUUCGCCGCCGCGGAUACCCGCCACCGUGCCGCGGACCGGCCGCCGUAGGCCCCCGCAGGCCAAAUUGAUCCCACCCCCGUGAUCCCCCGCACUCGCCCGUGCCUCGCCACCACCUCCCCCCCGUAGAACCGGACCAGUGGCGGAGAACCGCCGCGGGAGUUCGCCGUCGACCGGGCUCCGGUCGAUCCUCCCCCCCUCCGUCCGUUGCCGCAACGCCGUUAACCCUCCCCCCUCCCUGGAGUGUGGGCCCGCGCCACGGCGCCGUUCCCCCGCCGUCGCUCCCUCGCGGCCAGGCCAACUGGGCCGCAAGCGUGCCCCCGCGCGCGCGCUCGCGCCUGGUGGGCCGAAAAUCCCCCCCCCCCGGCCCAGCUGGCUGGAAAUCCUUUAUUCUUUUCUUUUCCCUUUUCUUUUUCCCAUUUUCUCAUAUAUAUUUAGAUGCUAAUAUUUUAUGCACCAAAAAUUGUUCAAAUAAAUUAUUAGGGCACAAAAAUAAUAAAGUAUAAAAAUUUGCACACCCCACAAAGGUCACUAUGUUUGAUGUACUGUUAUUAUCUGUGUUUGAUUAGCGGAAGAGGGAUCAGAUCCUCCGGAACUUAUAGCUCCGGAAGAGGGGCAAGAGCCCGACCCCUCCGAGAUUAACCUCUUGUGCCAGGAAAGCUUCGACGAAGGCAAGUCCAUCCUUCCCUUGAUGCAUUAUUUACCUAUUUCUCUCUACCACUGCCUAAGCCUGGAUUAUGGGAUGGGAAUCGAAUUGCAUGGUGAGCAUGAGAGAGCCUGCAUUAACUAUUACUUUGACUAAAAGAUAUGGGGCAAGUAAAAGGGUAUAAGUGACAUGUUUUCCAAAAGUGUGCGAUGAAGGGUACUCACCCUCGUCACCUGGUGAGUAGGAUGAUCAGGGACUCCCUGGUUUAGGGGAGGGCCUAAGGUGUUGGCUCAGCUGGUUCAGGCAUGAGCAGAAGGAUUGUCCUCUCGUAUAAGGACCGGUUUGUCAUCUUUCAUUACUUGUACUCACAAAAAGUACAACCACUCGAGGCUGUGUGGGCAGCCACUCGAUCUGAACUCGUACGGUCCAACCCCAGGGUUAAGAAGGCUGGGGAGCACCGGGAGGAUAAGGAGGGGGAAUGUUUUGUCCGGUUUGGACAUGGCGGUGGCCUGACUCCUUCCGUUAUACCGUUAAGGUUCGGACGUACAAGGAAGGAAAGAGUUUCGGAUUCGGGUCUCAUUGGCCAUGAGAUCGCAGAGCUGGACUAGUGGGUAAAGUGUACCCCUCUGCGCAGAGUCUAAACCUAUUCGAAUAGUCCGUGUCCACUGGUAUGGACGAGUCUGGUAUGGUAUGACAAUUAGUGUUUCUACUACAACCGGGAAUAGGGAAAUGUGUGUGUAUGUUCCGAAAGGAAAGUGGUACCACGGGAGCAGGAAGCUCAGUGGUGGUCAAGUAAGUGUUACUUCUAUUGUCCUGGGAAAACCAUAAUCAACGAAUACUGCCUUUCUCUGAAAAAGCAUGAGUGACCUCAACUCCACCAUAUAAAGCAUGUACCUUAUAGGUCACUUUCUCUUUACGGGAGCCGGGUGGGCUUGCGGAAUACCUAGUGUAUUCACCCAGAUUUAUUUAUGUUUUUCAGCAGCUGAAGACUUCUUUUCUGCUAUGCUUGAUUGAUGGGGCUGUGUCUUCACCCAGUUCUGCCUGUGGCCUGGGCUAUUUUAUCUUCCACUGCGCUUUAUGUUUUUCGGCUCACUUUCGAGCUUGUAUCCUCCGGUAUUGUAAUAACAUUAUUCAGACUCUGUAACCAUUUGAAGUAAUAAAUGUGGUUACUAGCCUCCUGGGACUAGUAAUUGUAUCACAUUUGAGUCCCAAAGGAUCGGGACGCUUAAGGUGGUAUCAGAGCCUGUAGGACUGGCCGUAGACCGCAGCCCUGACCUUAAAAAGUUGUCUUAACAAGAAAACACCUCUUACCCCCAAGAAACACUCUCCCCUUUCCCCGAUAUUAACAGACCCUUCUUUUCUUCUACCAGAUGGAAGACUCCUGGGUUAUUAGGACAUCCUAUUGCUCAGGGGAAGAAGGAUUCCCUCACCUCUUACGGAGUUGCGCGCUACGCAUGGGGAUCCGUAAGAAGCCCGAAUAUGUCUAGAAGGAAUACCACGAAAAUGGUAUAGAAAAGUGCUCUAUGGCAGUCUACCUGGGAGAAAGCCGAAACUACCCAAACCACCCUCCCUUCCAAGUCAACUUCACCGGACACCGCUUCCCAGACACUUGCCAAAGUGUAGCCCGAAAAGCCCUUAAACAGCUAUGCCAAAACUACAUCCAAGAGAUCUCUGAAACCCCCCUUCGUUAUUUCCCACCCAGCAACAAAAAUACCCCCACCUGGAGGAAAAGACUUCAGGCUCUGUCAGGGAGAGAUCCCACCGAGGAUGACCCCACCAUUGUCUAAAUGACCGGAUACCUCCACACCCUCGACAACCACUACGAUGACCUCUCCUCCCACUGCACCCACCUAAACUCCCGGGUGGAAAGCCUAGAGCGGCAAGUCAGAGAACUUAAGCAAGAGAAGGCAUCCCUCCAAGAGUGUCUCGACAUAGCAGAAGGCGAGGAGGCCAACACCUGUGAGGCUUAUCGAACCUUAAAGAUGGACUAUGACAAGAAGCUAAAGAAGCUCGCCCCCAAAAAGAAAAUCCAGAAGAAGACCACCAACCGAGGAUGCCAAACGGAGAAGAAGAAGAAGAAGACCCCUCCAGCCCCACCUCCCCCCAAGGUAGAUGAUUGGUCCGACGCCGAGGAUCUAUCCCUAGCAAGCCUUGAUGAUCUUCUCAAGGAGUUUGGGGACACCUUAGAGAAGGAGUUCAGUAGUACCUCGGGGAACGCUCUCGUGUAGCUCCACCUGUAGUAGUCUUAUGCUUGUAUUGUGCUGGUGUAAUGAAUAAAAUAACUUGGUUGAAAACAAUUUGCAUGUGCAUGUUAGUGACUCUCUUCCCUGGCAGAUGGCUUCGGAUAAAACCACGCCUACCGCCUCCGGGAUUGGAGCAGGGUUUCCCCUGAGAGCUGAAGGGGAAGCCGUUAGAGAGGAAAGUGAAACCCACCUCCCCGCACCCCCACCACUACCCUUAGACCUAGCCCAAGUUCUAGCCAAUCAAACCCGACUCAUCGAGGUCCUCACUCGAAAUCUGGAAAAUCAACGGCCAAAUGGUGGAAGACCGCAAGACAGAAUGGGGGAUUUCCUGAGACUCAAGCCUCCCACGUUCGCCGGAUCGAGCAAUCCCCUCGAUGCAGACGAUUGGAUGCGCACGAUCAAAAGAAAGUUGGAAGCCAUCGGUUGCCCAGAAAAUCAGCGUGUUCAACUGGCUGCCCAUCAACUUUCCGGGAUGGCCUUAGCCUGGUGGGACACCUUCAACGUCACCAUCAGAGAUGCUACCUGGGCGGAAUUUGAAGCAGCUUUCCGGGAGCACCAUGUGCUCCAAGGACUCGUACAGCUUAAGGAGGACGAGUUCCGAGAAUUGACUCAAGACGGAAGAUCUGUCAGCGAAUAUGUGCACAAGUUCACGGAAUUAGCCCACUACACGCCAGAUGACGUCAGUACCGAGAGCAAGAAGAUGGCCCGUUUCCUGAAGGGACUCAGGCCAGAACUCAAGACAAUUCUAGCUAGCCAAGACUUCCUCAGUUUCUCUCACCUGUCCAACAAGGCCAUGCAAGUUGAAAGGGCAAAGGAGGAGGAAAAAGGGCAUCUCAAAAGAAAGUUCCAAGUCCUCCGGGCUCAGCAGCAAGACCGGCACCAGAAGACUCGAUCAUUUGGGUUACCACCCAAGGGGCCAAACUUCAGUAGACCAGCUGGACCCACUCCGUCACGAUUCAGCCAGCAAAGUCAGAGCUCUUUCCAUUCCCCCUCAGUGGCAAGCAACCAACCCCCGGCAAAUGCGUGUUGGCACUGUGGUGAUCCCAGUCACUUCAAGAGCAACUGUCCGCAGCUGAAGCCACCAGGACCCGCCUACUCCAACUUGAUGAAUGGCCCCAAGAAUACCUCAGCAUCCGCCCCCAAGGCGCCCUCCACCGUCAGCCAGCAGAUCAAGGCUCCGUACCAAGGAAGGACACGAGUAAAUCACGUCGAUGCCCAGGAAGCUCAGCAGGCUCCGGGAGUAGUGCUCGCUGAGUUCCUUGUUGAAUUUACUCUCGCUACCGUACUUUUCGAUUCUAGAGCAUCCCACACCUUCAUAGCCACUAGUUUUGUGGAAAAGCAUGGCAUUCCCUCUACUCCUCUGGAGAUUCCCUUAGUCACCCGAACCCCAGGGUCCGACCUUCUAUGCCAGCUAAAAUGCUCCCAAGUCAGAAUCCUUUUAAGUGGGGUAGUAUUCCUGGCAGACUUAACCGUCUUGCCAUCCAAAGGAAUUGAUGUGAUCCUAGGAAUGGAUUGGCUAACUAAACACAAAGGCAUCAUCAGUUGCGCAGACAAGACAGUCCUCCUCACCGACCAGCAGGGAAAGUCAGUCUCUUGUCAGGCACAGCCACCCGCCAGUGACCCAAUGAUGUUCAACCUAGCAAAAGAAAGUAUAUCAGUGGUAGAAGAAUUCAUGGAUGUGUUUCCAGAAGAGUUACCAGGAAUGCCACCAGAAAGAGAAGUGGAGUUCUACAUAGAUCUGAUCCCUGGAACGGCGCCCAUCGCGAAGAGACCAUACCGCAUGGCUCCGACCGAGUUGGCAGAACUGAAGCUUCAAAUCGCAGAUCUUCAGCAAAAGGGAUACAUUCGUCCCAGCUCAUCACCUUGGGGAGCACCAGUCCUGUUCGUCUCCAAGAAAGAUGGAAGCAUGAGAAUGUGUAUUGAUUACCGAUCGUUAAAUGAAGUUACCAUCAAGAACAAGUAUCAGCUUCCUCGGAUUGACGACCUCUUCGAUCAGCUUCAAGGAGCCAAGUACUUCUCCAAGAUAGACCUAAGGUCUGGUUACCACCAAUUAAGGAUCAAGGAAGCAGACAUCCAAAAGACUGCAUUUGUCACCCGGUACGGGCAAUAUGAAUUCACAGUGAUGUCGUUCGGACUCACAAACGCACCCGCCUUUUUCAUGAAUCUCAUGAAUAAAGUGUUUAUGGAAGAGCUAGAUAAGUUUUUCAUAGUCUUCAUUGACGACAUCCUUAUCUACUCCAAGAACCGCGAAGACCAUAAGCGUCACCUUCGGAUCGUCCUCGGAAAACUCAGAACACACCAACUUUAUGCUAAACUCAGUAAAUGUGAAUUCUGGUUGGAAAAGAUAGUCUUCCUUGGCCAUAUCUUAACCGCAGAAGGGAUAGAAGUGGACCCUUCCAAGGUGGAAGCAGUAUCAAAAUGGAGGCAGCCAACCAACGUCAGUGAAGUUCGAAGCUUCCUAGGAAUGGCAGGGUACUACCGCCGCUUCAUCAAAGGAUUCUCCAGCAUAGCAAGACCAAUGACAGAACUUCUCAAGAAAGACCAUAAAUUUGUGUGGACCCCAAAAUGUGAAGGGAGUUUCCAGGUCAUAAAGGAGAAACUCACGACAGCACCUGUUCUAUCACUGCCAGAUAUUCAUCAAGAUUUUGUCGUCUUCUGUGAUGCCUCGAGGCAAGGCUUAGGGUGUGUGCUAAUGCAAAACGAGAAAGUCAUUGCUUACGCAUCACGCCUACUCAAACCGCACGAACAGAAUUACCCCACCCAUGAUUUGGAAUUGGCAGCCAUAGUGCAUGCCUUGAAGAUAUGGAGGCAUUACCUAAUCAGAAACAAAUGCCACAUUUUCACCGAUCACAAGAGUCUGAAGUAUAUAUUCACUCAACCAGAUCUCAACCUCCGUCAGCGAAGAUGGUUGGAGCUGAUCAAGGAUUAUGACCUAGAAAUUCACUAUCACCCCGGGAAGGCCAACGUGGUAGCCGACGCCCUCAGUCGAAAACCAUUCGGAUUAAAAGGAACCAACCUUUUAGAGGAUUGGAAGAAAGAAUCAGCGCAACUAAAUGCAUGUCUAGGAAACAACGACAGUCUCGAAGUCAAACCAAUGCUGGAAGACCUCAUACGCAAAGCUCAACGUCUAGACUCAGAGACAGCAGGACUUAUGGAGAAAGCCCGCAAGGGACAACUCCCGGACCUCAGGACGGAUGACCAAGGAGUCCUUUGGUUCAAAUACCGUCUGUGUGUACCAAAAGGGGAGGCUCGAGAGGUCCUACUCAAGGAAGCUCACAACUCGGCUUACUCCAUCCACCCAGGAACUACCAAGAUGUACCUGGACCUCAAAACCAGAUACUGGUGGAAAGGGAUGAAGAAAGAGAUAGCUCAGUAUGUGGCCCGAUGUGACAUCUGCCAACGGACGAAGGCCGAACACCAAAAGCUUGCAGGCCUAUUACAACCCCUUCCGAUACCUGAAUGGAAGUGGGAAGAAAUAGGCAUGGACUUCGUAACCGGACUGCCCCGGACGCAAAAAGGGAAUGAUUCCAUCUAGGUAAUAAUAGAUCGCCUCACCAAGGUAGCCCAUUUCAUCCCAGUGAAAACUACCUUUGGAGGAGCCACCCUUGCCCGGAUUUAUCUCAAGGAGAUAGUCAGACUCCAUGGCAUCCCAAGGAAGAUAGUGUCAGACAGGGGAACCCAGUUCACAUCCAAGUUCUGGACAAGCCUUCAGAAAGCUAUGGGCACCAAGCUAGAUUUCAGUACCGCUUAUCACCCUCAGACAGAUGGGCAGACAGAAAGAGUCAACAAAGUCCUUGAAGAUCUGUUAAGAGCAUGUGUGUUAGCUUUUGAUAGAAGUUGGGAAUCCAGUCUACCCUACGCAGAAUUCUCAUACAACAAUAGCUAUCAGGCCAGCAUCAAGAUGUCGCCAUUCGAGGCACUGUAUGGACGGAAAUGCCAGACCCCUCUCAUGUGGUCCAACAUAGGGGAAAAAGCACUAGAAGGACCUGCCUUUGUCAAAGAGGCGGAAGAGAAAGUUGCACUGAUCCACAGAAGGUUACUUGAAGCUCACAGUCGGCAGAAGAGUUAUGCAGAUAGCAGGCGGAGGGAACUUCGAUUUGAGAAAGGAGACUUCGUCUACCUCAAGGUUUCUCCAAUGCGUGGUGUCAGGAGGUUCCAAGUAAAAGGGAAGCUAGCCCCGCGUUUCGUAGGUCCCUAUCCCAUCAUUGGCAGGGUAGGACCCGCAGCAUACCGUUUGGAAUUACCGGAAUCCAUGUCCGACAUCCACAAUGUGUUUCACGUAUCCCAGCUCCGCAAAUGCCUGCAAGCACCAGAAAGUCACAUCGAAGAAGAGACAGUACAGAUUCAGAAAGACCUUCAGUACCGUGAAAAACCAGUAAAGAUUCUUGAUUCAGCAGUCAGAAAGACCCGCACCUCAGAGGUGAAGCUCUGUAAAGUUCAGUGGAGCAGAGAAGGAGAAGAGGAAGCUACCUGGGAGAGUGAGGACCCCUUGAGGAGGGAAUACCCUUAUCUUUUCUCAAAUCCAGUCUAAAUCUCGAGGGCAAGAUUCCUUUAAGUGGGGUAGGUUUGUAACAUCCCAAAACCCCACCCAAGAUUUGAAACCCUAACCUCCUAAAUUCCUUUCCACCCCCCUUAUUUUACCUUUCUCCCUUAACCCUACCCUUAGAACCCCUCUUCAUGUGCAUACACUUGAAAUAAUUAGAGCACCUCACAUAGACUAUGUUUCUCACUCAAGAUCAUUUAGAAAAUAUUUUUGGUCUCCAAAGAAAAAGAAUCAAAAAGAAACAAAAAUAGAAAAAGGAGAAGAAAGGGAUUAGAAUUAGAAAAAGAAAAAGAAAAGGGAAAACCUCACCCCCUUCCUCGGCUGGGCCGAAUUCCAGCCCAACCCACGCGCGCCCGCACCUCUCCCCCCCCCUCUCUCCCCGGCCCAGGCGGCCCAACCGCGCGCGGCUCCCUUCCGCUGACACCCGGACCCCGCCCGUCAGCGCCUCACCCCCUCCCUCUCGCGCCGCUUCCUCUCGCUGGCAGCCAGGGCCCACUUGUCAGUUCCAUCCCCCUCGCCCAUCCCUCACCGGCGCAUCCGCCGCCGAGCAUCCCCUAGCCUCGUCGCCUCGCCAUUAAUGCUCGCCAGCCUCCGCGACAACCCCGCCACUGUGCUUGAGCCGACCCCUCACCCCCCCCCCCCGCCUGCCCGAGCCAUCGCAUCGGCGUUAGCGCCAUUUUCGCCCUCACGGCGAGCUCGCCGGUGCUCGUCGUCUCCUCCAUCCCCCUCCCUCCCCCGAGCGCCUAUAAAAGCACCCGCCCGAGCCCCGUCUUCACCACACCGGCUCCGGCCAACUCCUCCACCUUUCCCCACGCCAAUCGAGCUAGCGCCACCGUGCUCUCUUCAUUGCUCCGGUGAGCUCCCCUCCCCCUCUCUGGUGAUCCUCUGUCCAAUCAAACUAGGCUCGAAUCUCUGCCACACUCUCUCGGUCGCGAGGCACACCUCCCCGCCUCCUAUCGUGGCCGGCAACCGCUCCGGCGGCUUCGCCGCCGCGGACACCCGCCACCGUGCCGCGGACCGGCCACCAUAGGCCCCCGCAGGCCAAAUUUAUCCCACCCCCGUGAUCCCCCGCACUCGCCCGUGCCUCGCCACCACAUCCCCGCCGUAGAACCGGACCAGCGGCGGAGAACCGCCGCGGGAGUUCGCCGCCGACCGGGCUCCGGUCGAACCUCCCCCCCCCCUCCGUCUGUUGCCGCAACACCGUUAACCCCCCCCCCCCUCCCUGGCGUGUGGGCCUGCGCCACGACGCCGUUCCCCGUCGUCGCUCCCUCGCGGCCGGGCCAACUGGGUCGCAAGCGCGCCCCCGCGCGCGCGCUCGCGCCUGGUGGGCCGAAAAUCCCCCCCCCCCGGCCCAGCUGGCUGGAAAUCCUUUAUUCUUUUCUUUUCCCUUUUCUUUUUCCCAUUUUCUCAUAUAUAUUUAGAUGCUAAUAUUUUAUGCACCAAAAAUUGUUCAAAUAAAUUAUUGGGACACAAAAAUAAUAAAGUAUAAAAAUUUGCACACCCCACAAAGGUCACUAUGUUUGAUGUACUGUUAUUAUCUGUGUUUGAUUAGCGGAAGAGGGAUCGGAUCCUCCAGAACUUAUAGCUCCGGAAGAGGGGCAAGAGCCCGACCCCUUCGAGAUUAACCUCUUGUGCCAGGAAAGCUUCGACGAAGGCAAGUCCAUCCUUCCCUUGAUGCAUUAUUUACCUAUUUCUCUCUACCACUGCCUAAGCCUGGAUUAUGGGAUGGGAAUCGAAUUGCAUGGUGAGCAUGAGAGAGCCCGCAUUAACUAUUACUUUGACUAAAAGAUAUGGGGCAAGUAAAAGGGUAUAAGUGACAUGUUUUCCAAAAGUGUGCGAUGAAGGGUACUCACCCUUGUCACCUGGUGAGUAGGAUGAUCAGGGACUCCCUGGUUUAGGGGAGGGCCUAAGGUGUUGGCUCAGCUGGUUCAGGCGUGAGCAGAAGGAUUGUCCUCUCGUAUAAGGACCGGUUUGUCAUCUUUCAUUACCUGUACUCACAAAAAGUACAACCACUCGAGGCUGUGUGGGCAGCCACUCGAUCUGAACUCGUACGGUCCAACCCCAGGGUUAAGAAGGCUGGGGAGCACCGGGAGGAUAAGGAGGGGAAAUAUUUUGUCCGGUUUGGACAUGGCGGUGGCCUGACUCCUUCCGGUAUAACCGUUAAGGUUCGGACGUACAAGGAAGGAAAGAGUUUCGGAUUCGGGUCUCAUUGGCCAUGAGAUCGCAGAGCCGGACUAGUGGGUAAAGUGUACCCCUCUGCGCAGAGUCUAAACCUAUUCGAAUAGUCCGUGUCCACUGGUAUGGACGAGUCUGGUAUGGUAUGACAAUUAGUGUUUCUACUACAACCGGGAACAUGGAAAUGUGUGUGUAUGUUCCGAAAGGAAAGUGGUACCACGGGAGCAGGAAGCUCAGUGGUGGUCAAGUAAGUGUUACUUCUAUUGUCCUGGGAAAACCAUAAUCAACGAAUACUACCUUUCUCUGAAAAAGCAUGAGUGACCUCAACUCCACCACAUAAAGCAUGUACCUUAUAGGUCACUUUCUCUUUACGGGAGCCGGGUGGGCUUGCGGAAUACCUAGUGUAUUCACCCAGAUUUAUUUAUGUUUUUCAGCAGCUGAAGACUUCUUUUCUGCUAUACUUGAUUGAUGGGGUUGUGUCUUCACCCAGUUCUUCCUGUGGCCUAGGCUAUUUUAUCUUCCACUGCGCUUUAUGUUUUUCGGCUCACUUUCGAGCUUGUAUCCUCCGGUAUUGUAAUAACAUUAUUCAGACUCUGUAACCAUUUGAAGUAAUGAAUGUGGUUACUAGCCUCCUGGAACUAGUAAUUGUAUCACAUUUGAGUCCCAAAGGAUCGGGACGCUUCAUCUUGAUGCCUUCAUUAUCCCAAGCCCAUUUUCUUUUUGUAAAAACAUGAGUCAUAGAUCAAAAACAUUUUUCUUAAUCUAUCAGCAUGACUAAGCAUCUCUAGCUUUUAUAAAAUAGGUGACAAGGUAUGGUAAUGAAUCUUUUCAAGGAAUGGUAAUGCAUCAAGUGUUUAAUCAAUCAACUCCUAUCACCUAAUGCAUCAUAUAAGUGAUAAAAUUUUAUAAACACAAGGGAGGUGGCAAAUGCACCGGGGCUUGCCUUGUUGCAGAGAAGAUCCAAAACCUUUCUAUCACGAUAAUUAGUUAGAUGGGAUUCCACCACUGGAUCAAUAGGCACUGGAGUGAACUCCUUCUUCAGACACCACUUCUUCUCUAGGUGUUCUACAAGUCAAUUGCAAAUACAUGGAUGCUUAUGUAAGGAUAUGAAAUGCAAAGUGUCUAGACUCUCUCACAACUACGCAUACAUUUAAGCAAGCAACCAUACCAACCACCGCUUACCACAGACGUUCGUGCACAACAGGGAGAACGGCGACGCUGCAGCGAGGUUGCGAGGAUGAACGUGAG
rnacentral:lncRNA from 1 species